rnacentral:pre_miRNA from 1 species
GCUCAGACAGGAAGACUUAGAAGGGUGGCACUUGCCUUGGUCUGGACUAGAAAGUGCUUCCCUUCUGAGUGUUGCUGUCUGAGG